ensembl:lncRNA
CAACACAGUAUCAAGGAUCAAAGAGUAUGUGUAUACAUUGAAUGUGUUGUUUUUUUUUUUUGUUUUUUUUUUUAUACAGUACAUAUAUUGUGUGUAUGUCUGUUACUCACUACUACUGUUCCAGCCGUGUGUAUAUAAGUCUGAGCAGGUCCUUAAUCUCUAGCAGGUUGGUGUGGUUUGGCUCUUUUAGGGUUGCAGCAUAGCUCCUCUGCUCCUGCUGCUCGGGCCGGUGUGGGUGUGGACCGGGCUGCUGCUCUGAUGAGAUGCUGUCAUUCCUCGCUGGAGCUGCUCUGGGUCUUUUGUGGUUGUGUUGAUGUUGGUCCCAGGAGAGAGGGCCCUGUGGUGCAAGGUACUGUUGGGGUCUCAGCUGCUGUGGUGUAGGCUGAUGGUAGUAGAGAGCAGGUUGUGAAGGUUGAGGUCCAGGUACAGGUCCAGGUCCAGGACGAGGCUGAGGACGAGGUACAGGUCCAGGGCGGUGGGGUGGGGUGGGGUCAUAGUGGUAGGGUUUGUACAGUACUGCUUAGCCGAGCCUGGAGAGAUGAUGUUCUGUGGUGCUGCUGGGGGAAAGCGUCUCACUGGCUGAAGGGCAGUGGUUGCUCUGGCACUCUUUGGGGGGCUGCCAGGGGUUCGGCCCAGGGCCGCGUCUUUAAGAGUCUUUACGGAGGUGGACAUGGUCGUAGAGGUGGCCGAGGUCCAGUGUAGGAUGAUGUGCCAGGUGAACAUUUGGCAUUCCAGCACAUCUACGUGAGAUGUCUGCAUUUACUCUUUGUAUGGUGCGUGGAUGGAAGUCUGAUCUGGGCAGGAUGGUGGAGAUAACUACUCUUGAGGUAGGGAAGGUUUGUGUUGCUUUCAUGGCCACCCGUGUCACUGAAUCUGCCACUCGCUCUUGUUGUGCCCGCAGGUCAUUCGUGCCAACAUGGAUGAUGAUGUGGCUGGGUUCACCCAGGUUCUCCUUGUUCAGUUGUUGUAGGGCAAUAUCUGUUUUUGGGCACCAGCGUUUUAAUGUUUUGUGGCCAGGAAAGAGCUGUUUCUCAUUGAUGAAUUUGCCAUUUGAAUCAAUUAAGAUGAUGACUUCUGCUUUCUGUGGGUGACUUCCUUGCUCUUGGGGGCCCUCGGGGGCCUCUGCCUGUGGUGCUGUUGGAGUGCUGGACUCCGGUGUUGGAGUGUGGGCUGCUGCUGUCUGGGUGCUGGGAGAGCUGGGCCGCUGCUUACAGAUACGGCUGAGGCUCUCUGUCUGUUCUCUCAGGCUUUGUAUUUCUCCU